rnacentral:rRNA from 1 species
GGUCAUUUAGAGGAAGUAAAAGUCGUAACAAGGUUUCCGUAGGUGUCGUUCCUCGCGAGGUUCGCCUACGGAAGCCCCGAGCAGCGACUCGAAAGAAUUGCUCCCGAGUCUGCCCACGGGCGGGCGACGCCUUCAUUCUGCCCUGGGAGUGCCCGCUCAUCGGGCCCACCAGCAGCUUGUGCAAGCUCACAGAUCAGACGAACGCGGCCACUGCGGUGGUUUUGAUAUGACCGGCCGGGGCUGUCACCAGCCCACGACGUUUGCGGAACCUGCGGAAGGAUCAUU